UGGGGAAUUUUGGACAAUGGGCGAAAGCCUGAUCCAGCAAUGCCGCGUGUGUGAAGAAGGCCUUCGGGUUGUAACGCACUUUUGUCCGGAAAGAAAUGGCUCUGGUUAAUACCUGGGGUCGAUGACGGUACCGGAAGAAUAAGGACCGGCUAACUACGUGCCAGCAGCCGCGGUAAUACGUAGGGUCCAAGCGUUAAUCGGAAUUACUGGGCGUAAAGCGUGCGCAGGCGGUUGUGCAAGACCGAUGUGAAAUCCCCGAGCUUAACUUGGGAAUUGCAUUGGGGACUGCACGGCUAGAGUGUGUCAGAGGGGGGUAGAAUUCCACGUGUAGCAGUGAAAUGCGUAGAGAUGUGGAGGAAUACCGAUGGCGAAGGCAGCCCCCUGGGAUAACACUGACGCUCAUGCACGAAAGCGUGGGGAGCAAACAGG
rnacentral:rRNA from 1 species